AGAGUUUGAUCCUGGCUCAGGACGAACGCUGGCGGCGUGCCUAAUACAUGCAAGUAGAACGCUGAAGACUGGUGCUUGCACUAGUCAGAUGAGUUGCGAACGGGUGAGUAACGCGUAGGUAACCUACCUCAUAGCGGGGGAUAACUAUUGGAAACGAUAGCUAAUACCGCAUGACAAUUAAGUACUCAUGUACUAAAUUUAAAAGGAGCAAUUGCUUCACUAUGAGAUGGACCUGCGUUGUAUUAGCUAGUUGGUGAGGUAACGGCUCACCAAGGCCACGAUACAUAGCCGACCUGAGAGGGUGAUCGGCCACACUGGGACUGAGACACGGCCCAGACUCCUACGGGAGGCAGCAGUAGGGAAUCUUCGGCAAUGGGGGCAACCCUGACCGAGCAACGCCGCGUGAGUGAAGAAGGUUUUCGGAUCGUAAAGCUCUGUUGUUAGAGAAGAACGGUAAUGGGAGUGGAAAAUCCAUUACGUGACGGUAACUAACCAGAAAGGGACGGCUAACUACGUGCCAGCAGCCGCGGUAAUACGUAGGUCUCGAGCGUUGUCCGGAUUUAUUGGGCGUAAAGCGAGCGCAGGCGGUUAUUUAAGUCUGAAGUUAAAGGCCGUGGCUCAACCAUGGUUCGCUUUGGAAACUGGAUAACUUGAGUGCAGAAGGGGAGAGUGGAAUUCCAUGUGUAGCGGUGAAAUGCGUAGAUAUAUGGAGGAACACCGGUGGCGAAAGCGGCUCUCUGGUCUGUAACUGACGCUGAGGCUCGAAAGCAUGGGGAGCAAAC
rnacentral:rRNA from 1 species